rnacentral:lncRNA from 1 species
GUAUGCAUUAUUUUGGUCAAUCAACUAGACAUGCCAGCAUGGGAUUAACAUUGACCUACAAUUUUAGAGACUUAAUUAUAUACAAGUGUGGUACCUGUUAUAGUGACAACACAUAACCCAACACAGGCCACAUGUGAAUUUGUGAAGUCAUCAAAACUACAAGCAAAACUAAUACAAAUAAAUAUGAAGACCUACUCUAAUCUUCGAGGAAUCACUAUUGGAAACAUAGAAACACAGCUAACCCUGUUAGAAUUGCGGCUAACCAAUCGGAGUUAAAUCGUCUAAAAUAGAAAAAAAAAUCGCGAGGAAUAAGUAUCAUGUACAUACAUGGUCAUGUCGGCCUGAAGGAAUGGUGGUCGAGUCUUG